UGUUUUUGUUGUUUCUUCUCUGCAGAGGAAGGAUUGAACCAUGAAUGCAAGCUCUGUAGUCAGUCAUUCGACUCACCGGCGAAGCUUCAAUGCCACCUGAUUGAGCACAGCUUCGAGGGCAUGGGGGGAACCUUCAAGUGUCCGGUCUGCUUUACAGUAUUCGUCCAGGCCAAUAAGCUCCAGCAGCACAUCUUCUCCACACACGGCCAAGAGGAUAAGAUCUACGACUGCUCGCAGUGCCCACAGAAGUUCUUCUUCCAGACAGAGUUACAGAACCACUCGUUGACUCAGCACAGCAGCUAACAUGGCAAAGAUCAGCGCCGUGGCCGAAAACAAGGAUCACAUGACGCAGAGAAUAAUGUCGGACCGCCAAUUACCGUCAGUGCAGUUUCCCACUGACUGUCUUGCACUGAACUUUCGAUUCAGUUUCACCACAAGGAACCACGCCACAGCAAGAAAAAAGAAAAGCUAAGAAAAUAAAAGAAAGAGAGGGAAAGAACAUAAAAUAACCCUCCCGGUUCUUUACUAACCAUUAUUUCAAAAAUAAAGAAAAAGCCAACUUGUUUGUACAUAGAAUUCUUCAUGUGUUGCUUAACUACAGCUAUAUUGCAAUCUUAUACAGUAUUUGCCAAUGUACAGUUCAAAAAUGUUUAUCCAAAAAAAAGAGAAGGGGAAAAAAAUAUCAAUGACAUUGUCAAUCAGACCAGAUGGGACUCACAGUUGUGUAAAGGAGAAACAGGGUGCCACUGAGAGCGUAGGAAGCUGUAGGAUCCCGCAAGUGUUGUCAGGAGGACUCUUUUCAUCAGCGACACUCCUACUGCGCAGUAUGUCACUAUGUAUCCUAACAUGGUCAAUCAUUACGGGGUAGAAAAGCUCGAUUCACCAGCAUAAGCUGAGAUCUUGACUGUGUGUCCGUCGUUUCGUGGCUGCCAGAGGACCAGCUGAGAACGGUGGUGCGACUAAUCUGCACUGCCUGCGCUGGAGUUCAGAUGAGAGGCAAAAAAAUACAAAUACAAGAAAGAGAGAAAAAAGAACACAGAAAAACAGGACAGGAUGCUGAUAUAUGCAAACGCAGUGACACAGAUUUGGAAAAGGCUAGUUCCUCUGGUUGGCUCGUGAACAGAGGCGUGAAGCUCCCAUGUGGCUCUCAGAGCAUGGGGAAAAUCUCCGGCCCACUGACUCAACCUGUACAUUUCUGUUGUCAAUGUUUACUGCUCGUUGAAGCCUGGAGAUUACUGGAAUUAUUUUCCCUUUUAUGUUUUGUUAUCUAUACAUAUUUUUCGCAGUAGGGGAGUAAAUCCAUUUGGAUUUGGGGGUCAUGAAGACUGAGCAUAAUUUCAGUCUGUUCUGGGGAUAUAAUGUAAUUACAAAACUCUGUCCCUGGCUCUCCUGGAGAGUGCCCGAGUACUCCUUGUUUCUUUGCAGUGUCCCAUUGCUCUAUGCUCAAGCUGGAAGCCACUGUGGCAUCAUAUGAAACUUUAAAACAUUCUGUUAUGUAAAUGUUUUGCAUUCAUUGAACCUGAGAUGCACUUUUGUAUAAAACUUUAAUGUUUUGACAUUUUGAUUGAGAAUUGUUCGUACACAGUUUACAGGAAAUCACCAUCUCCUGCAGCAAAAGGACAGUUAUCUCAGAUGUUAUUAAAAUGUAUUGAGUUCUGUAUUUGGCAGACCUCAUUUUUUUGUGUUGCACAUGUGAUGGAAAUAUUAAAAACUGUAUGAAGAACUGG